rnacentral:rRNA from 1 species
AUGAACCCGCAGGGCCUGGACAGACUCAAUGGUGCCCAUGUCGUUCUCAUCCUGAAAAUUGACGGCGCAACCACCAUGUCAGACUCCCGUCCGAUCAGCUUACUCCAUAGCGUUGCCAAGCUCUUCCUCAAGGUCCUUGCGACGCGCCUUGCUAAGCGCCUCCCCGAUCUAAUUUCUCCUGGGCAGAGUGCUUUCAUCGAAGGACGU